rnacentral:tRNA from 1 species
GCCUGGGUGGCUGAGUGGGUUAAAGCCUCUGUCUUCGGCUCGGGUAAUGAUCCCAGGGUCCUGGGAUCAAGCCCCACCUCGGGCU